rnacentral:rRNA from 1 species
UACGAAGGGGCUAGCGUUGCUCGGAAUCACUGGGCGUAAAGCGCACGUAGGCGGACUCUUAAGUCAGGGGUGAAAUCCUGGAGCUCAACUCCAGAACUGCCCUUGAUACUGGGAGCCUUGAGUUCGGGAGAGGUGAGUGGAACUGCGAGUGUAGAGGUGAAAUUCGUAGAUAUUCGCAAGAACACCAGUGGCGAAGGCGGCUCACUGGCCCGAUACUGACGCUGAGGUGCGAAAGCGUGGGGAGCA